UACGGAGGGGGCUAGCGUUGUUCGGAAUUACUGGGCGUAAAGCGCGCGUAGGCGGCUUUGUAAGUUAGAGGUGAAAGCCCGGAGCUCAACUCCGGAAUUGCCUUUAAGACUGCAUCGCUAGAAUCAUGGAGAGGUGAGUGGAAUUCCGAGUGUAGAGGUGAAAUUCGUAGAUAUUCGGAAGAACACCAGUGGCGAAGGCGGCUCACUGGACGACUGUUGACGCUGAGGUGCGAAAGCGUGGGAGCAACAGG
rnacentral:rRNA from 1 species